UUGGUCGGAAUUGUGGGGGGAAAAACUGUCCAAAAGGAGCCGGUGGAAAAAGUGACCGGAACAGUGUUCACGCGCGUGGCGCGUGGGUGUCGCUGGCGGCGCGUGAGUGGUCGUCGGCGGCGCGUGAGGCAGCUUCCGGCGACGAAAUUUGCAGAGGGUGUGCGCCUGACGCUGUGCGUCUCGACGGUGUAGGAGGUGUCGAAGAAAGACCACCGUGAGUUGUCGGAACAGUGUUCCGAUAGCACUGUGCAGUCGGAAAAGACGAGAGAGAAGAGAGAGAAGAGGAAGAGGAGAGAGACGUACCUGUCGGAAUCGGCGACGGUGGUCGCUUCAGACGGGAAGAGAGAGAGAUUGAGGAGAGAGAAGAGAGAGAGAAGACAGCC
rnacentral:lncRNA from 1 species